rnacentral:rRNA from 1 species
GACAGAGGUGCCGAGCGUUAGGCGGAAUCACUGGGCUUAAAGCGUGUGUAGGCGGGUCGGUAAGUGUCUUGUGAAAUCCCACCGCUCACCGGUGGAACGGCUGGGCAUACUGGCGACCUUGAGAGGCCUAGGGGCAGACGGAACAAGCGGUGGAGCGGUGAAAUGCGUAGAUAUCGCUUGGAACGCCGACGGCGAAAGCAGUCUGCUGGGGGCCUUCUGACGCUGAGACACGAAAGCCAGGGGAGCGAACGGG